UGGGAGAAACGACCAUGUUGAGGCUGUUAAGGGGAUGGUGAGGGGGUUUUUUUAGGCUCCGUGCAGAAACAUGUCUACUACUAACCUUUCAGCUGCCACAAUGGUUGCUAGAACCAGAUGGAGCUACAUACUCCCCCACAAAACAUUGUGACAAAUGUGGACGUGGAGAUGAUGAUUUCCGUUCACGAAUGGAAUACAUAGCCUAGAUUAUGCGUAAUAUUCGGGGCGGAGGAUGUAGCUACAUACCAGUUCAGAUGCAGAUCACCUUUCACCAUCGGCGCUAGAAAUUUUCUUGCCGAGGGUGUUACGGAGGAGCAACACAUGGCCGUUGUUUUGGAUAUGAUAAGAGGCAAGGAGUUUGUGUGUAGUCAACACGCCAUGGAUGAGAUAUUUGAGGAAGAUGAAAUAGUGCUUCUCUACCAUUUCUCUAUGGAGAUUGAAAAGGCGAAAAACAAUCUUGACCUAAAUCUAGGUCCUACCGUUGAAACCGGUGAUCACAUUGUCCCAACUAUUGGGAAUACAGGGAUUGUUAAUCGCAUAUGAGGAGAUGGCCUUAGGGCGGCUACGGCUAACGUUUAUGGGUUUCACCAAGUCUUAACGGGUGGACGUUUCAGGACCUCUGUUCCAUCACCAACCUAUGAUCUACACUACUACACCCCGCAUUUUGGUGCAAUGGAAGACAGUCCGGAAUAUUUGGAAAGCUUGAUGUCUUCGAGCUAUGUUGUUCAGCUACAAAGAAUAUAUAGAGUCCCGGGGUCGGAAUAUGUGGGUUACGCCCCAACUGAUCUCAACAUAGGGGCCACAAAUGUUCCUCCUAUCCCAAGAAACCAACAACUAAUUGAUGUAUCCUCCAAUGGUUCUUCAACAGAUGUGAAAACCAUCGUCGAAACUUGGGCAGAGGUGAACUUCUCCAAGAUGGAACCCACAUGCUAUGGAAAUUUUGUAUAUGUUGAGAAAGAUAUGAAUUUCGCUUGUUCCAACGGAUAUUAUGUCAACCAGUUAUUGUGGUUAGAAACAGAUACAUACAAAUAACUAAAAUACGUUGUUUGUUACCGAGAUAUAGGUGAAUCGUCAAAACAUGGCAAUUUGGGACCAGCUGCACAUCUGGCGGGUGUAAUGAAUACUGAAAACAUCCAGCAGUCCCCUGAAGCGGAGGGAAACAAUGGAGGAGAUGCAGGUGAAGAUUGAAGCUCUCAGCCUUAUAUAAAUAUAUCUAUUGACGCUGUGAUGGUUUGUUGUAUUUUGCUUUGCGAUGCUACCCCGA